CUCUUUAAAUAUUUCACCAGCAAAUGUGGAAAAUUUUUGUAAAACGAAGAGAACAACUUACUCAUGAGACUUACAAUUUUGCGGAAGCGUGCAUCUUUACGAAAUCUUGCUGCCAAUUCCCAAGCUAUAGUCAUUUGGACUUUGGCACUGCCUAAUGGAAACUUUUUCAUUUAAAAUGAAAGAGCAAACAGUCACAAAGAUUGCACUGGCUGCUAGCGUGGAAGAUUUGACUUAAAUACCAGGCCAGCAGCAUGUGCAAAUAACAAAAUUCAUUGCAUACCCGCAAGGGGCGCCAGUAUUUGGCUGAAGUGCCGGGCGAACAGCAAUGCCCAGCAAGUGAACAAGCUUUAACUCAUUUUAUAAACAAAAGGCGAUUUGAAGACAACUUUGCCCUAUUUGGCUGUGAUCCCACUAGUUGCCGUCUGUUUGCUUUCCCGCGUCCUCUUGCCGCUAACAAAGGCCAACUCCCGGCGUAAAUGAGGCCACGGGCUCUGAGCUACUGCAGCCUGCCUGCUAUUUUACCAGGCGAUUUGAGGAUAACAAAAUUGCCAACUUGUUGGGAUGCUUUUGGAGCUACAACUGCGGACAAUGGCCAGCUCCCGGCGUAGAAGAGGACACGGGCUUCGAACUACUUCGAUUAUAAGUUUUUCCAGGCUCUCCAAUAUGGGACAUAUAAUUAGUAUAAUCCUUAGAUUCUUGAAUGUAGAUCGAUGCAGUUGGUCCUUACGAUCCGAAUGCACCAAGCCAUUUGAAAAUCCACAAGGAUUUGGCCGAGCUAUGGCAGUUUCCCCUAAAAGGACAUUAAUCUCUAAAUUGGCCAUAACUUGACCGUUUUAAGGACUUUCGCGAUGUCCUUUGGUCAACCAAUAGUCCACAUCCUCCCAAUUUAGAAUAUGCUUAGAAAUGGACAAAAGUCCUUUAAACAGUCCAGAAAAGAGCACCUUUGUCUGUAGAGCAAAUAUGCCAUAGCUUGCGCGUAUCCUUGCAGAUCUUUACAAGUCCUUUUUUAAAUAUCCUGUAUAGAUCAGGGCUAUUAACCAUCCAAAUGGCAUUGAAAUCGUCCUCGUAGUUUCCGAAAUUCAGCUAUUUGUUUAAAAAGGACAUUAAUUCAAAAAUCGGUCAUAACUUGACCAUUUUAAGGACUAUCGAGAUGUCCUUUAGUCCACCGAUAGUCCUUAUCCUCCCGCUUUAGAGUCAACAAAUAGAUAAAAGAAAGUCCUUCAAAUAGCCAAGAAAAAAGGACAUUUGCCUUGCAUUUGAAUAUAUGCUAUAAAUAGGCCGUGUCCUUGCGAAUCCUUACAAGUGUUAUGUCAAACAAACCGUAGGAACUAGGACUAUCAACUGGCCAAAGGUCAUCAAAAUCGUCCUUGUGGUUUCAGAGAUAUGGCUAGUUUUCUCCCAAGGACAUUUUGUUUUUAGCCAUAGCUCGGCCAAAUCCUUAAGGAUAUCGGAAGGAUAUACCUUUUUGAGAUCGUAAGGAGCAGGACUAUGGAUUGGCAUUCAAAGAUUUCCAUAUUUCGACAAAAAUUUUCACCAAAAUUUUUCCUAGGGGUUUGGUCACAAAAUUGACCAAAACCGAAAAAAUCCGGGCUAACUUCGCCAUUUGAAGGACUAUCGGGAUGUCCUUUGGCCAGCAGAUAGUCCCCACCCUCCCAUUUAAGAAAUUACCACCCGAAGGACGAAAGUCCUUCAGACAAAAAAGUUUUAAGGACAAUUUUGGGUAAAGAAAAUAGGCUCUAACUCGGCCAUAUCCUGGAGUAUCCUGGCGAAUCAUGUGUCAAAAAAAUUGUAUUGACUAGGACUACCAACUGGCCAAAUUGCAUCAAGAUCGUCCUUGUAGUUUCCAAGAUAUUAAGGAUUUUGUGAUUUUCACCCAUUUUCGGCUUAUUUCCGGGCGCCCCGAGACUGAAAAUUUUCUAAGUACAUGAUUCUUAGAUGACCCCAUAAUGUUUUGAUGCAGAUCGAUGCGGUUGCUCCUGAAGAUCCUAACGCACCAUGUCCUUUGAAAAUCUGCAAGGAUAUGGCCGUGUUAUGGCUGUUUUUCUAACCCAAAAUACUCUAAUAUAAUUUUUAAUUUUUUUCAUUAAAAUGUGAUUUUAUCUUUACAGAUUGAUGAUUUCAAGGAACAGCAAUCGAUUCCAAGGACAUUCACGAAUCCUACAAGGAUAUACAUUCCAGGAUCUGACUUUUUACACGCUAGAUAUAGCCAAUUUAUGUAAAAAUAAGCUACAAAUGUUAUUUAUGCUCAAAA